AUUGAACGCUGGCGGCAUGCUUUACACAUGCAAGUCGAACGGCAUCGCGGGCUUCGGCCUGGCGGCGAGUGGCGAACGGGUGAGUAAUGCAUCGGAACGUGCCCAGUCGUGGGGGAUAGCCUGGCGAAAGCCGGAUUAAUACCCCAUACGACCUGAUGGUGCAAGCGGGGGACCGAAAGGCCUCGCGCUAUUGGAGCGGCCGAUGUCGGAUUAGCUAGUUGGUGGGGUAAAGGCUUACCAAGGCGACGAUCCGUAGCUGGUCUGAGAGCACGACCAGCCAGACUGGGACUGAGGCACGGCACAGACUCCUACGGGAGGCAGCAGUGGGGAAUUUUGGGCAAUGGGGGAAACCCUGAUCCAGCCAUGCCGCGUGAGGGCAGAAGGCCUUCGGGUUGUAAAACGCUUUAGUUCGGGAAGAAAUAAUAUGGGCUAAUACGCCGGGGGGAUGACGGUACCGGAAGAAUAAGCACCGGCUAACUACGUG
rnacentral:rRNA from 1 species